rnacentral:lncRNA from 1 species
CAGGUACUUCGUCUCCUAAAGUCACAUCUUUUAUUCUUUACUCAGGUUGAAGAGCUGCAGGUUGUCAAAGAUCAGCUGUUCUUCUCUGGUCUCAGCUCUGAAGUCCAACUCCUCCCAUCUCAGAGAACUGGACCUGAGUCUGAACAACAUGAAAGAUUCAGACCUGAAGGAUCUUUCUGAUCUUGUGAAGAGUCCAGACUUCAGACUGGAGACUCUGAGGUUCAACGGAAGAGUGAUUAAAGCUUCUACAGAGAAAACCUGUGAUUCUGAUGUCAAACAGAGUCCAAACACAGCAGAGACAAAGAUGAUUGUGUCAGAGGACAAAAAGCCAGACAAGGUGAGAGGUCAAAUAUCUGUCCUGAUGCUCCAGACUGAUUUAGAGGCUCGGCACAUGGCAGGAAGGGGAGAACAAAUAUUCAACCAAUAUCUCCUGUAGCUGGCAAUGAUUUAAUCUCUUUGAGCAGAGA